AUUGAACGCUGGCGGCAGGCCUAACACAUGCAAGUCGAGCGAGCGGCGGACGGGUGAGUAAUGUAUGGGGACUGCCCGAUAGAGGGGGAUAACUACUGGAAACGGUAGCUAAUACCGCAUACUAUCGGAUAACCCAUAUGGGGUUAGCUAGUAGGUGAGGGAAUGGCUCACCUAGGCGACGAUCCCUAGCUGGUCUGAGAGGAUGACCAGCCAACCUGGGACUGAGACACGGCCCAGCCGCCGACGGAGGCAGCAGUGGGGAAUAUUGCACAAUGGGCGCAAGCUUGAUGCAGCCAGGCGGCGUGUAUGAAGAAGGCCCUAGGGUUGUAAAGUACUUUCAGUGUGGAGGCGUUACCUACAGAAGAAGCACCGGCUAACUCCGUGCCAGCAGCCGCGGUAAUAC
rnacentral:rRNA from 1 species